rnacentral:rRNA from 1 species
GACGAACGCUGGCGGCGUGCUUAACACAUGCAAGUCGAACGGAAAGGCCCUGCUUUUGUGGGGUGCUCGAGUGGCGAACGGGUGAGUAACACGUGAGUAACCUGCCCUUGACUUUGGGAUAACUUCAGGAAACUGGGGCUAAUACCGGAUAGGAGCUCCUGCUGCAUGGUGGGGGUUGGAAAGUUUCGGCGGUUGGGGAUGGACUCGCGGCUUAUCAGCUUGUUGGUGGGGUAGUGGCUUACCAAGGCUUUGACGGGUAGCCGGCCUGAGAGGGUGACCGGCCACAUGGGGACUGAGAGACGGCCCAGACUCCUACGGGAGGCAGCAGGGGGGAAUAUUGCGCAAUGGGCGGAAGCCUGAUGCAGCAACGCCGCGUGCGGGAUGACGGCCUUCGGGUUGUAAACCGCUUUCGCCUGUGACGAAGCGUGAGUGACGGUAAUGGGUAAAGAAGCACCGGCUAACUACGUG